CGACCGGCGCACGGGUGAGUAACACGUAUCCAACCUGCCGUCUACUCUUGGACAGCCUUCUGAAAGGAAGAUUAAUACAAGAUGGCAUCAUGAGUCCGCAUGUUCACAUGAUUAAAGGUAUUCCGGUAGACGAUGGGGAUGCGUCCAUUAGAUAGUAGGCGGGGUAACGGCCCACCUAGUCUUCGAUGGAUAGGGGUUCUGAGAGGAAGGUCCCCCACAUUGGAACUGAGACACGGUCCAAACUCCUACGGGAGGCAGCAUG
rnacentral:rRNA from 1 species